AUUGAACGCUGGCGGCAGGCUUAACACAUGCAAGUCGAGCGGGGUGAUGGUGCUUGCACUAUCACUUAGCGGCGGACGGGUGAGUAAUGCUUAGGAAUCUGCCUAUUAGUGGGGGACAACAUCUCGAAAGGGAUGCUAAUACCGCAUACGUUCUACGGGAGAAAGCAGGGGAUCACUUGUGACCUUGCGCUAAUAGAUGAGCCUAAGUCGGAUUAGCUAGUUGGUGGGUAAAGGCCUACCAAGGCGACGAUCUGUAGCGGGUCUGAGAGGAUGAUCCGCCACACUGGGACUGAGACACGGCCCAGACUCCUACGGGAGGCAGCAGUGGGGAAUAUUGGACAAUGGGGGGAACCCUGAUCCAGCCAUGCCGCGUGUGUGAAGAAGGCCUUAUGGUUGUAAAGCACUUUAAGCGAGGAGGAGGCUCUUUUGGUUAAUACCCAAGAUGAGUGGACGUUACUCGCAGAAUAAGCACCGGCUAACUCUGUGCCAGCCGCCGCGGUAA
rnacentral:rRNA from 1 species